UCCACAUUUUCCCCGUUCAAAGAUCCGCUGGAAUAAGAUCACAGACUUAAUUAAGCAAUUAUUAGCAGUUAUUAGAAACACUAAAUUUUUUGGUGUACCCUGUCCUGCAAACUUUCGACUAAUCAUAAACUCUUUUUGUAAUUCCUAUGUGUUGGUUUAGAAUGUCAAAAAUUGGCCGAUGUUGACUCCUAAAGACAUAUAAUUUGUUAGUUAGUUUGUGUGUCAAAUGAGUGUACUGUAUCUUGUGAAACAUUCGAUGAACCUACAAUAACCGUGAUUUGAACAAGGACAAACAUUCAGUUAAAAUACCGUAUUUCCGAACAAGUUAUAAACAAAAAUUGUCACGCGAAGAAUCAUAAAUUUGCACACAUCGACCGUCAUCAUUUGCGUCACUGUCGCAAUAACCAAGAUCUUAUUUUGAGCUUUUGAAGCAAACUGCGUAAUCCUCAAAUACAUUCAAAAAGUGAAGUAAAAAAAUAUAAAAAUCGAAAACCAACCAAAACCAAUGUGAUAUUUGUUUCGGAAAUAAAAUCUGGGUAACUACACCUUUA